UACGUAGGGUGCGAGCGUUAAUCGGAAUUACUGGGCGUAAAGCGUGCGCAGGCGGUUAUAUAAGACAGAGGUGAAAUCCCCGGGCUCAACCUGGGAACUGCCUUUGUGACUGUAUAGCUUGAGUGCGGCAGAGGGGGAUGGAAUUCCGCGUGUAGCAGUGAAAUGCGUAGAUAUCUGGAGGAAUACCGGUGGCGAAGGCGGCAUCCUGGACCGACAUUGACGCUGAUGAGCGAAAGCUAGGGGAGCAAACGGG
rnacentral:rRNA from 1 species